rnacentral:rRNA from 1 species
AAAAGCCCGCUCGCCGGAAGACCAAGGGUUCCUGUCCAACGUUAAUCGGGGCAGGGUGAGUCGACCCCUAAGGCGAGGCCGAAAGGCGUAGUCGAUGGGAAACAGGUUAAUAUUCCUGUACUUGGUGUUACUGCGAAGGGGGGACGGAGAAGGCUAUGUUGGCCGGGCGACGGUUGUCCCGGUUUAAGCGUGUAGGCUGGUUUUCCAGGCAAAUCCGGAAAAUCAAGGCUGAGGCGUGAUGACGAGGCACUACGGUGCUGAAGCAACAAAUGCCCUGCUUCCAGGAAAAGCCUCUAAGCAUCAGGUAACAUCAAAUCGUACCCCAAACCGACACAGGUGGUCAGGUAGAGAAUACCAAGGCGCUUGAGAGAACUCGGGUGAAGGAACUAGGCAAAAUGGUGCCGUAACUUCGGGAGAAGGCACGCUGAUAUGUAGGUGAAGUCCCUCGCGGAUGGAGCUGA